rnacentral:pre_miRNA from 13 species
GUGUAUAUACGUAUAUACACACAUAUGUGUAUAUACGUAUAUACACACAUAUGUGUGUAUAUACGUAUAUAUACA